GACGAACGCUGGCGGCGUGCUUAACACAUGCAAGUCGAACGAAGAGCGAUGGAAGCUUGCUUCUAUCAAUCUUAGUGGCGAACGGGUGAGUAACGCGUAAUCAACCUGCCCUUCAGUGGGGGACAACAGUUGGAAACGACUGCUAAUACCGCAUACGAUCUAAUCUCGGCAUCGAGGAUAGAUGAAAGGUGGCCUCUACAUGUAAGCUAUCACUGAAGGCGGGGAUUGCGUCUGAUUAGCUAGUUGGAGGGGUAACGGCCCACCAAGGCGAUGAUCAGUAGGCGGUCUGAGAGGAUGAACGGCCACAUUGGGACUGAGACACGGCCCAGACUCCUACGGGAGGCAGCAGUGGGGAAUCUUUCGCAAAGGACGAAAGUCUGACGGAGCAACGCCGCGUGAGUGAUGACGGCCUUCGGGUUGUAAAGCUCUGUUAAUCGGGACGAAAGGCCUUCUUGCGAAUAGUGAGAAGGAUUGACGGUACCGGAAUAGAAAGCCACGGCUAACUACGUG
rnacentral:rRNA from 1 species